AACUGCAGCCAUGCUGAAGAGGCAAGGCCAGGGUGUGGGUUUUGCCAGGUGUGGCUGCAAACAAUGUCUGCAGAUGUUCUGCAGAGAGUCAUGAGUACACCUGCUUCUCUUCCCCUCCCCUCACGCUGCGAUCUGCUUUUGGGGGUGUGCAGGGCUGUAGGGCCUUUCUUCUCUGCACCCUGAACCCUAAGCCAUGGUGAGGAUCUUAGGUUUGUUCUUUUGGAACAGCAUUGUGCUCACGUGGUCUUGGACUCUGCUUGGGACUCAGGGCAUGGCUUCUAGGCUGUCCUUCAGUCCCCCAGAGCACAGAAUAGCUUCCCAGGAGCUAAGGGACCUGGGAGGCUUGUUACUGAGAAUGGUCUUGUUUAUUUCACAUCUCAGGGCUCAAAGCACACUUCAGCUCAAGGCAAGGACUCUGUGGUCAAGGAAUUUUGAGAAGCUUUCCACUCAAGACAGGUGUAAGGAAAAGGUGCCCAGAAAUGUGACAUUUUGUUCUUGUAGCCUUUCUGGAAGUUUCCCAUUCUGGAAAUGAGCAAUCUGGGGCUGCGACAAAUCUGGUGGCUCUACUAGGUGGGACUUGGAUUUUCUUCUGUGUGUUUCCAUUCCACGGUGACAAACCAAAGCACAACCAGGUACUUGGGGUAGCUGCACAAGUCCCCAACCCUGUCUGUAUAUCCCUGGGUCCCAGAGCUAGUGUCUGAGGCCCGAAAUGUUAAGCAAACCUGGCCAGGAAGCUCCUGGCCUCCUCCAGCAGGCUGAUGGCUGCCCAACCCAUGCUGGCAGGGGAAGAACCAGUAAUUGCAGACUGGUUUGGCCCUCAUGGAAAAAAAAAAA
rnacentral:lncRNA from 1 species